AUGGAGCUCAGUGGUAGAGCACUUGCCUAGCAUGCAUGAGGCCCUGGGUUCAAUCCCCAACCCAGCAU
rnacentral:tRNA from 1 species